AGACCUGGAGAGCAGAAGACCUGGGCCGGGAGCGGGGCUUUGCCAGGGUCCAUUGUACUCACGCUGGGGGGCUAGAGACCUUCUUUUACUGGUUCUGCUUAUCAGCCAAACUUCACCUAACCUUUGGACUUGUUAAGCCAGUGCCUUGCAGCCUAGGCGCGGGGCUUUUCCACCGGUUCUCAGUUCCGCUUUAGUCCAGAGAGAAGACACUACGCUUCGGGGUUCAGUUGUUGUAAUAGGUGCAAAUCUUUGCUUCUCAUAAUUCUGCCCAAUGGAAGAACAUUCUCUGCCUACCCAGCUUGCCUCAAGAAGGAUAAUGAAGUGUUCAGAGUAAAUGUCCCUGAAGAACAAUCUCUUCGUCUGUCUCUCACUCGCUAUCAGGAUAGAAGCAUCAAGUGUAAUGAAGAUCAGUUUCUGUGUUAAGCUGGGAAAACCCAUUUAAAAAACAGCAAUCACUUCUGUUGUAACAACAAAACUUUGAUUGGCAGUUGCAGCUGCUGUGUGCCCCAUCUGAUUCCCAAGCCUCAUUCUCUCUCAAAAUUCAGGUGUCAGCAAACCCAUUCUUCCCCACACCCCAGCUAACUAUGUGAAUGUGCAGGCAAUUUCACACAGAGGAUAGGACAAACUUCCUAUGAGUGUCCAGACGUGCAAUCCCUGGUAUAAAAUAAGUUGAAAUCCAGUUGACUCAUCAUUCUAUGAAGGUGUUCUGAGCACCAUGCUGGUCAUUCCACAGAUUGGCAAAUGUGGCUUCUGUGAACUCAUCUCCCCUGGAACUUAGCAGCACAAGCGAUAUUUCUUUUCUGAUUUGUGCAUGCAAUCUUUCCCCUACUUUUCACGGUUGCACUUCUUUGUUUACAGAAGAGAUUCUGGUCAUUUCCACCCCUGCCACUCCACUCUCCCAGCCUCUCUCAUUGGUUCACAGAGUAUCUAGAAGGCCUCAAAAUAAAAUCAUCUCUAGAGUAAAACAUAAAUACCAUCCUAACCUGUUCUGCAGGAGGUCAGGGGCCUUCUUGUUAGAGAGCAGUGUUGCAACCUGGAGAACAUUCUAGACAUCAGGGUCUGGAAAGAGCCUGAGGUUCUUCUUCUGGCUACAAAACCUCUUUCUGGGUGAUUCAUCUCCCCAAAAGUUUUGGUGAGCACCUUCUCUGGGUCUCUGAUUCUACCUUUGAAAAAUGGCUAUUGGUCUGGAUAACCAUUUAGGUCCUCCAACUUUUUUUUAUAAUUUGAAAUUCCUAAAAGGUCUUAAAUUAUUAGGGUGUCUACUUGCAGGCCUUCGGGCAGAUGGGCCAAGAGCUCAGGCCAGACCUCUGUGUAGUAGUGGACAUGAAGCCUUGACUAGCCACGAAAAAAUAUACCACAGAGAGCAAACCCUAUGAGGGGCAGGCAUCUUCUCAUGUCUUACUCCUCAGUGCCUGGAGAAGUGCUGGUGCAUGGUAGAUGCUCAAGAAAAUGCUUACUGAGUAAACGAACAUGUGAUUGCCUCUGGACAAUACUGUUAAAACUAAAUACUUGCCAGGUGUGGUGGCUCACACCUGUGAUAGUUCUUUGGGAGGCCGAGGUGGGAGGAUAGCUUGAGCCCAGGAGUUCAAGCAAAAUAGUGAGACCCUGUCUCUACAAAAAUAAAAAAUAAAAAAAUUAGCCAGGCAUGGUAGUGCAUGCUUAUAGUCCUGGCUACUCAGGAGGCUGAGGUGGGAGGAUCGCUUGAACCCAGGAGUCUGAGGUUCCAUUGAACUAUGAUCGUGUCACUGCACUUCAGCCUGGGUGACAGAAUGAGACCCCAUUCUCUAAAUAAAUAAAUAACUACUUUCACCAGACACGAAAGAGUAUAUACUGUGUGAUUCCAUUUAUAUAAAGUUAAAAAGUGGAAAAACAAAUCCGUGGUGCUGGAGGUUUCUGGGGUGCUAGAAAUGGUUCUAUAUUUUGAUUGGGAUGGUGGAUCCAUCACCAGGCUAUACAUGUGGGAUCUGUGCAUGUUGCCAUAUGUAAGUUAUAAAUUAGUAUAAAGUAAAUUAAAUAAAUUACUCCAAGUAUAAAAUGUAAACAGUGUGGGGCCGGGCGCGGUGGCUCAUGCCUGUAAUCCCAGCACUUUGGGAG
rnacentral:lncRNA from 1 species